rnacentral:lncRNA from 1 species
UUGAUUAAGGUUGGAUUAGGAUCAGGAUUUGGUUAGAAUUUAAGGUUCUAUUAGAUUUUUGUUAGGGUUUGACUAAGUUUUCUUUAAUAUUCUUUUAUAUUUCUUUCAGAUUUCCUUGUGUUUCUUUUAUAACUUCAAUAAAAUUUAAUUGAGCUUGCUUAAUGUUUGAUUAUGAUUGUUAAUGUUUAAUUGUAAAUUCUCUAUAAUCCUAUUGGAUUGUUAGGACCUUUUGUUGCAAUUUUCUUUUACCU